GCGAAAGCCUGACGGAGCAAUACCGCGUGAGGGAGGAAGGCCUGUGGGUUGUAAACCUCUUUUCUCAAGGAAGAAUACUGACGGUACUUGAGGAAUCAGCAUCGGCUAACUCCGUGCCAGCAGCCGCGGUAAGACGGAGGAUGCAAGCGUUAUCCGGAAUUAUUGGGCGUAAAGCGUCCGCAGGUGGUGAUUCAAGUCUGCUGUCAAAGAGUGGAGCUUAACUUCAUAAAGGCAGUGGAAACUGAAUAACUAGAGUGCGGUAGGGGUAGAGGGAAUUCCUGGUGUAGCGGUGAAAUGCGUAGAGAUCAGGAAGAACAUCGGUGGCGAAGGCGCUCUGCUGGACCAUAACUGACACUGAGGGACGAAAGCUAGGGGAGCG
rnacentral:rRNA from 1 species